rnacentral:rRNA from 1 species
ACGGCCUUCGGGUUGUAAACCUCUUUCAGCAGGGACGAAGCGAAAGUGACGGUACCUGCAGAAGAAGCACCGGCCAACUACGUGCCAGCAGCCGCGGUAAUACGUAGGGUGCGAGCGUUGUCCGGAAUUAUUGGGCGUAAAGGGCUCGUAGGCGGUUUGUCGCGUCGGGAGUGAAAACUCAGGGCUCAACCCUGAGCCUGCUUCCGAUACGGGCAGACUAGAGGUAUGCAGGGGAGAACGGAAUUCCUGGUGUAGCGGUGAAAUGCGCAGAUAUCAGGAGGAACACCGGUGGCGAAGGCGGUUCUCUGGGCAUUACCUGACGCUGAGGAGCGAAAGUGUGGGGAGCGAACAGGAUUAGAUACCCUGGUAGUCCACACCGUAAACGUUGGGCGCUAGGUGUGGGACUCAUUCCACGAGUUCCGUGCCGCAGCUAACGCAUUAAGCGCCCCGCCUGGGGAGUACGGCCGCAAGGCUAAAACUCAAAGGAAUUGACGGAAUCACUA